rfam:Rhizobiales bacterium 63-7 SCNpilot_expt_1000_bf_scaffold_1367, whole genome shotgun sequence.
GCGGGUGUAGCUCAGGGGUAGAGCACAACCUUGCCAAGGUUGGGGUCGAGGGUUCGAAUC